rnacentral:misc_RNA from 1 species
UAAAUCUAAAUGUAUUUUGUGCAUUAUGAUCGUUCUGCACAUAAAUCCAAUUCAGUUGAUCUGGUAGCCUCAACGUCGACAUCAAAAGCAGAAGCAGCGGUGGUGAUCGAAAGAAAAUAAAGACAUUUGCAAUUGGAUUUUCGGAAUUAUAAUAAAUAUAAAGAUAUUUUCGAUUCUGUUUUAAAUUAUUUAUAUAGAUUUGUCCGUGUUUUUAUUAUAGUGUACAGUGAACUAUAAAAUUUGGUAGCACGUUUUUGUAUUGGAAAAUUAAAGGAACGGUAAGGGUGGUAUUCCGUACAAAAUACGACAGCAAUCAAGCAGGCAUCCAGCUGAAGCACUACCAUCCGUUUGCGAACGUCAGAAUAGUAGUAGAAGCAUAAAGUUAAUUCGAAGGCCUUUCGCUCUAACAACAGACACCUUUACGCGUGUGUAAUCAGAGCAGUAAACACCGCCGUCACCAUUAGCGCCGCUGGUGCAGUGCGGAAAACGAACUAUGAGCGCCGCUAAAAAAUACAAGCUUAUGGACACAGGUGAUCAAUUACAGGACACGGAGAAUUAUACAAACAAUCGUUUAAAGAAACAAGGCGAUAACAAUUUUUAUAGUCCCUCGACUUCGGCUCGUUGUGCGUUGGGACAAAAUUUGCAUCAACCCUCAGCUGCGUCAAGUUCUCAAUUGUCGUAUAAUAUGAAUAAUAGCAAUAGCAGUUUGGGCACUAACGGUGAAAGGCGUGCUAAUUUCUCAAUGUUAGAUGGGGCACAUAUGAACGAUCAUCGCUCAGCCACAACUACCUCAGCGUACUUUAAUAAGAUGGGCGCAAAUAAUGCCUCCAAGCCGGGAGAUGUUAAAAAAAUUGUAAUAAAAAAUUUCAAGAUGAAACCUACACUGCCGGACAAUUAUUCGGAGCAUACUUGCGAAAAAUUGCAAGAAGCAGUUGUCGCAAUUCAACUGUCAAAGCCAAUUAGGUAUUCAUUAGAAGAGCUGUAUCAAGCUGUGGAAAAUAUGUGCAGCCAUAGGAUGGAUGCGCAGUUAUAUGGAAAACUUAGAGAGCUUACCGAAGCUCAUGUGAAACGCAACGUUGAGUCAUUUACAGGCGCGAGUAUGGAUAAAUUGGUGUUCUUGAAAAAGAUAAAUGGUUGGUGGUUAUCAUUUUGCCAACAAAUGAUUAUGAUGCGCAGUAUAUUUCUAUAUUUGGAUCGGACGUAUGUUUUGCAAAAUCCUACUGUUCACUCAAUAUGGGAUAUGGGCUUGGAUUUAUUUCGGACUCAUAUAGCAAUGAAUGAAAAAGUACAAAAACGUACUGUGGAAGGAAUACUUAUGCUAAUCGAAAAAGAACGUACGGGUGAUGCGGUGGAUAGGGGAUUACUUAAGAGUCUCAUACGAAUGUUAUGUGAUUUGCAAAUUUAUAUUAGUGCUUUUGAAGAUAAAUUCCUUAUUGCAACAAAGCAAUUGUAUCAGCUUGAAGGACAACGUAAAAUGCAAGAAAUGGAUGUGCCCGAAUAUUUACGACAUGUAGACAAACGAUUGGCAGAAGAAAACGAACGACUCUUGCACUAUUUAGACUCUAGUACCAAGUAUCCUUUAAUUUAUACAGUAGAAAAGGAGUUACUUGCAGAACACCUUACACACAUCCUACAAAAAGGUCUGGAUACCCUCUUGGAAGAAAAUAGACUGAGUGAUCUCACACUUCUGUACAGCCUUCUGAGUCGAGUCAAAAAUGGCACUGCCGAACUGUGCGGCAACUUUAACGGUUACAUUAAGAAAAAGGGACGUACCAUUGUUAUAGAUCCUGAAAAGGAUAAAAGUAUGGUACAGGAUUUGUUGGACUUUAAGGAUAAAAUGGAUGUGAUCGUGCGCACAUGUUUCGAACAUAAUGAAAAAUUCACGAACUCUUUGCGAGAGGCUUUCGAAUUCUUCAUAAACCAACGAGCGAAUAAACCGGCCGAAUUAAUAGCUAAGUAUGUAGACAUGAAACUGCGUGCUGGAAAUAAGGAAGCCACAGAAGAAGAAUUAGAACAGAUACUUGAUAAAAUCAUGGUGCUGUUUCGUUUUAUACAUGGCAAAGAUGUCUUCGAGGCAUUUUAUAAGAAGGAUUUGGCAAAACGUUUACUGGUUGGAAAAUCUGCAUCAGUUGAUGCUGAGAAGAGCAUGUUGUCCAAGUUAAAGCAAGAAUGUGGUGGUGGAUUCACCUCGAAGUUGGAAGGCAUGUUCAAGGAUAUGGAGUUGAGCCGCGAUAUAAAUAUUGCAUUUAAGCAGUAUGUCGGAAAUACGGAUACAGAGAUAACCAGUAUGGAUUUGACUGUCAAUAUACUAACAAUGGGCUAUUGGCCCACAUAUCCCUUAACUGAAGUCACUAUGCCACCACAACUUGUGAAUCCGCAACAAGUUUUCAAUAAAUUUUACUUGGCUAAGCAUAGCGGUCGUAAGCUCCAAUGGCAGCCAACACUGGGUAAUUGUGUGCUUAAAGCGCAGUUUGAUGCGGGUCCCAAAGAGCUAUUGGUUUCGCUGUUUCAAGCACUUGUGCUCUUACUGUUCAACGACAAAAACGCAUUGAGUUUUGAAGAAAUCAUUGCUGCUACAAAUAUUGAAGAUGGAGAACUGCGCAGAACCUUACAGUCGUUAGCUUGUGGGCGUGCGCGUGUUAUUACGAAAACCCCAAAGGGUCGUGAGGUGGUGAACAAAGAUUUGUUCCAGUAUAACAAUGAAUUUACAAAUAAAUUGUUCCGUAUAAAAAUCAAUCAAAUCCAAAUGAAGGAAACGACGGAAGAACAAAAAGCAACAGAAGAGCGCGUUUUCCAAGAUCGACAAUAUCAAAUUGAUGCAGCCAUUGUGAGAAUAAUGAAAAUGCGUAAAACGCUUAGUCACAACCUGCUCAUUGGAGAACUCUUCAAUCAAUUGACAUUUCCUGUUAAGCCGGCUGAUUUGAAGAAACGCAUUGAAUCACUUAUAGACCGCGAUUAUAUGGAACGCGACAAAGAUAAUCAAAAUCAAUACAAUUACGUUGCUUAAAUUAUGAUUUCUAUACAUAUAAGGGCUCUACGACAGUCGACAUCGCUCGCAAGCAAGCCCUUUUUCCAUUAUCAGCAUCUAACAUGUAAACAUUACUUCAUUCGCAACAUCAAAUAAAACAAAAGAAAUUAAUGAGCGGUUACUCACAUCAUAUCCUUUUGCUUUACAAACGUAUAACAGUUUAAAUGUCGUUAUAUAUGUAUUAAAUAACUAUGUGUUUAAAAAGGCAUAUUCGGACAAAAAAUGGAUAACAACAAAGUUAAGCUAGCACUGAGCCAAAGUUCUAAAGCUUGCCUUGAUUGAAGAGAAUAAAAGAGAAAAAGCCGAGAUGAUACCCCACCAUAUCGGCUUAUAAAUUUACUGCACUGUAUAAAUAACUACUAUUAAAAUGAAGUAACUUCUUACGAAUGUUCCCAGAUAAAUAUAUACACACCUGUUACUCUUCUUCUGA